rnacentral:piRNA from 1 species
CUAGUCAGAGGAAAACCUUCAACC